rnacentral:rRNA from 1 species
GAGUUUGAUCAUGGCUCAGAUUGAACGCUGGCGGCAUGCCUUACACAUGCAAGUCGAACGGCAGCACGGGAGCUUGCUCCUGGUGGCGAGUGGCGAACGGGUGAGUAAUGCAUCGGAACGUAUCCUGGAGUGGGGGAUAACGUAGCGAAAGUUACGCUAAUACCGCAUAUUCUGUGAGCAGGAAAGCGGGGGACCUUCGGGCCUCGCGCUCUUGGAGCGGCCGAUGUCGGAUUAGCUAGUUGGUGAGGUAAAGGCUCACCAAGGCGACGAUCCGUAGCAGGUCUGAGAGGAUGAUCUGCCACACUGGAACUGAGACACGGUCCAGACUCCUACGGAGGCAGCAGUGGGAAUUUUGGACAAUGGGGGCAACCCUGAUCCAGCCAUGCCGCGUGAGUGAAGAAGGCC